rfam:Gossypium hirsutum cultivar TM-1 chromosome 15, whole genome shotgun sequence
AACCCAUGGUGAGGGCACCUUCUCAAUAAAUCUUUGUAUCUCUCCCAUGCGUUAUAAAGUGUUUCUAAAUCCAUUUGUACAAAAGAAGGGAUAUCAUUCCUCAAUUU